GACGAACGCUGGCGGCGUGCUUAACACAUGCAAGUCGAACGGGAUUUAGUAAACAGAAACCUCGGUGGAAGAUUACUAAUGAGAGUGGCGAACGGGUGAGUAACGCGUGAGCAACCUGCCUAUGACAGUGGGAUAGCCUCGGGAAACCGGGAUUAAUACCGCAUAAAAUCGUAGAAACACAUGUUUUAACGGUCAAAGAUUUAUCGGUCAUAGAUGGGCUCGCGUCUGAUUAGCUAGUUGGUGAGAUAACAGCCCACCAAGGCGACGAUCAGUAGCCGGUCUGAGAGGAUGAACGGCCACAUUGGAACUGAGACACGGUCCAAACUCCUACGGGGGGCAGCAGUGGGGAAUAUUGCACAAUGGGGGAAACCCUGAUGCAGCGACGCCGCGUGAACGAAGAAGGUAUUCGUAUCGUAAAGUUCUGUCCUAUGGGAAGAUAAUGACAGUACCAUAGAAGAAAGCUCCGGCUAAAUACGUG
rnacentral:rRNA from 1 species